rnacentral:lncRNA from 1 species
UUAUAGAAAGUUCAUCUGAGGAUAUAUCUUUUAAAUGGCCUGCUGAUUGUUUCUCAAAGCUGCUGGAUCCUGCUACUAGUGAGCAGAGAGCUAGGGUUCACACCCAGCCGAUCUGAUUCCCCUGCCCAUGACUUUGAGCUCCUCCCUUCAGUGAGAUGAAAAAAGAGAGGCUUUCUCCUGGAAUCGGAAAAGGCUGGAGUUAGAGGUCAGAGGCAGAGGCUGAAUGUCCACACUGGUCCCUCCCGUCUGCCCUUUCAAGGGGAGGGAAGCCCCGUGCCUGUGCUGAUGGAGGUGAGGAUGUUGCUCACAUCCCUUCUCUACCUUCAGUUUUCUGUCUGCCAAGGGCACCAGAGAGGACGCUCUAAGGCAGUGGUCCCCAAAUGCUGGGGCAUGGGCGCUGGGCAUCAGACUACGAGGAAGAACUUAAAUACAGACACCGGCCUUCACUCUGGACUGACUGAAUCCAGCUCCACCGGGUGGAAGCCAAGCAUUUUGACCUGUUCUCGGGGAGGUUUUUGCACCUCCCAAGGUCUGGAACCCACUCCUCCAUGGUAUCUCGGGGGAGUCUGGGCCUCCCAUCUCACCUCCUGAUGUCCCUCCCCCAGCUCUUGGGACUCAGAAUCAAGACAUGGGUUAGGGGUCCCAGCUGUAGCCUCGGGGCGGUUAUACCUCAGCCAGCUGUCCCUGCCUUCAUUAACAGACAGGGCCGCGUAUAUGGAAUACGGAAUCUUUUGUUCGCAGCCAUGCACAGCAACAACCGCAUCCACCCAAGUUCCCUGAAACAAGGGCCACCACCACACAUUCCCUGGCCUUCUUGGUGGCCUUCUGGUGGGAGCAGAUACGGGUUAAUUUGCGGCAGAAGCAUAGAUAUCCGAGACUGGAGGAUCCUAGCAGGCCGAGAUGGCACCCUGCCCUAGUCAUCUGCGGCUGUGUAAAAACCACCACCCAAAACAGCCAUUUAUUAGGCUUACAGAUUCAGAGUGUGAGGAACUCGACAGGGGCCAAAAGGGGUGACUGUCCUGGCUCUACAACGUCUAUGGCCUUAGUUGGGAAGACUUGAAUGGCUGGAGGUGCCUCUAAAGGCUGAGGGCUGAAAUCAAGUGGAAGCUUCUUGUCUCACAUGUCCUGUGCCCGGGCUGGGAUGGCUCCGCAGGGACGUCAACCUGAGUGCCUACACACGGCCUCUCUGGGGUUUGGGCUUCCUCACAGUGUGGCGGCCUCAGGAUAAUUGGACUCCUUAUGCAAAGGCUCAGGGCUCCAAAGACAAGUGUGCCAGCUAACAAGGCAGGGGCUGAUGGCCUGUGAUGGCCUAGACUUGGAAGUCACGUGGCAUCCCUUCUCUAUACUCUGUUGACUGAAACAGUCAUGGGCCUGCUGAUAUUCAAAGAAAGGAGGCAUAGAUCCCACAUCUCAAGAGAAGGAGUCAGAGAACUUAUGACCGUGUUUUAAAACUGUCCCACAAGCCCUGCUGGCUGCAACUGCAUGUGCUAGAACCUGGGGCAGGGCCUGGUUCAGCAAGGGGGCGCAGGGCCGGUUCACGAGGUCCCGGGCUCUUGGCCGGACACUGACGCUCAUCGUGCUGUAUGGAAUUGGGUGGGUCCUCUCCGCUUGCCUGACCUCC